CCCCCGCCCCGCCCCCACGCCGCAGUGUAUCCAGUUAGUGAAGAGCCUCUUCCUUGUAUCAAUAGUCAUCAAGACAUGCAGAGAUGAGAAAAUCCACAGACAAUGUGACAACAGACUAUCUGAAACCUGGAAGAAUCUCAGCGGCUACUUUGGGAGACUUGUCAGAGAUAAUCAGGAUCCAGCAACAAUCAAAAUAAGGUCACAUCAGUAUAUCAUCCACAUGAAUCAAAGUGUGAGCUACAAACUGAGAGACACUUGAGAUUAGUAAAUUGAUACUUCUUCCAGACAUCGCUGGCUGAGCCAAUAUUUACUACCCAUCUGAAAUAUCCCCUGGAGUCAACCACUUGGUUGUGGAUCUGGAGUCACACGUAGGCCAGACAAGGAAUACAUCACUGAAGAAUACUUUCACUUGUCCGUGGCAAGCGCAGAAAAGGAGGUUUAUGGCAAUGAAUGGACAAUGAAAGAAAACUCUAGUUACAAAAAUUAUCUUAAUCUCUGAAAAAAAUAUUGCACAAAUUCUCAAGUGUGCUGAAACUGUUUUUCAAGCCCACAAGGUAAUUUCAGAAUUUUAAAAAUGUAUAUUAUAUCUCCUCUUUGCCUUUCCUGCUUCAAAAUAAUCUCAGUAUCUUGCCAUUCUGUUCACAAUUAAUUUAUCCUCACAAGUGUACAUUGCACACACAUAGCCUUUACAUACUAUAGUUGUAAAACACUGCAUACAGCAGACAAACUGUGGCCAACCUAUUGGCUCUCAAUAUGUCACAGUAAUCUCAGAUGUCCUCCAAUCUGUGCCCUAAUUUAUAAAACUCUCCAUCAUUCUGCGGCUUUUAACUGCUUCAAUUGCUUGCUUAUUUUGAUUUGUUCAAGGUAUACAUUCACCAGCUUGGUAACAUAGCCGUUUAAAAUCAUUCAGUAAAUUGUUAGCUGCAACAAUAGCCCCAUUAAUAACUAUAGCCCACGACCCAUAUUGCCCUUUGCUCCAGCCAACUACACUAAGCAAACAUUACCACUUGAAUUAGAAAAUGGAACUAUUAAGUACAAAGUAAAUGCACAGUAGUUUGUGAUAAAUAAGUUGGUCAAUUUAAGACAAACAAUAACAAAUGAUGGCUGAUGUGAUGUACAAUCAUAAGGACAGAGAUGGCCAAAAAUAAUUUUUGUGGACAUGAAGGAUGUUUUAACAAUUAAGAACUUAGAACAAGGGGAAACAGAAUAUAAAGGUGUGUCAGUAAAUCCACUCUCCUGUCUACCUCAGAAAGCUGGGUGAUAUGUAAAAGAUCUGCAGAAAAAAAGGAGAUCUUUGAAAAGUGGUUUAAAAGACAAAAGCUAAAAAUUCCAUUAACAGACCAUAGACAAAAUGUUUGAAAUUGCAACUGCAAAGACAAAAAAUGGAAAAAAAAAAGGACUCCGUGAUAUCCAGCAAAGCAAGUGUCACUAUUUUGGUUUUUGAUCAGGGCUGAGAAGCUACUGAGAUCUCUUCUAGAGGAGAGUGUGGAGGACUAGAGAUUAGUGUGUGGUUAGACGAAAAAGGUCACAGAGUGGUUGCAGAUGAACAACACUGGAUGUGCGAAGAUGGAGCAAGACAGAGGAGUGUGGCCCCAUGACAACACACCACAUGGCAGGAGUAGCUACACACAGCAGCAAUAAAUGCAAGGGACAGAAUUACACUCAUGGGCCCGGGUCUAAUUAUGCUGUAUACCUUAACCCCACUUCUUGUGAGAACUACAUUUGGUCUUGUCACCCAUUCUGCAAUAUCACCAGAGGGUUAAUUUUAAAGUUACUUCAGUAAAUUCAACUUAAAUUACUUACAAAGCAAUUUAUCAGGUUUGGCGGCACAAGUGUCGUUGGCGAGCCAGCUCAGCGCUCAGGACUCUUUUUUUUCCCCAGUUAUAUCUUUUAUCCUUUUAAUUCUUUAACUAUUCAAAAUGAUGCCGAA